CCUGAGAGCUGUGUCAGAAGAGUACGUGACAAGGGGUCUGGAUGGAAACCUGAAAGGUUACAGGGAGUGAUGUCGUGGGGUCGUGCGGCCCGGGAGGCAAGCUCAGCCUGGCUCAUGAGCGUGGGUUGGUGGGCGGAGCAUGAGGAUUCAGCACAGUGUGCCUGAAGCAGAGACGACUCAACUGAGUUGAGCAGUGGAUGGGGGACGGAGAAGGGAGCACAGAGCAGAGGAGACAACUGGAUCCAGCUGGAAGGUGCACAGACAGUAGCUUCUUUAAAGAAUGUCACAUGCCUCAGGUAGGACAGUUCCUUUGCUAUACAUGCAGUAGAGAAGGAAAUAAGGAGAGAUGAUGAAGGUGGGCCCUGGAAGUAGGCGAGAUCAGGUGAACAUUCUGAAACAGGUGGUAGAGAAGAGGAGGUCCAAUGGUUAAGAAGAGUGAGGAAGGUGAGGCAAUGGCGCCCAGCAACCAGGGCAGGAGAGGCUUGUUGAGAGGAUCAGGGAACACACUGCACAGAGUGUGAUAGCAAAGAGCCAAAAGGAUGGAGUUGGAUGUUGAGGGUCUAGGAGCUGUGCACCCAUGAGUGGGCCAAGGGUGUGAGGAAGCCCAUGCAGGAGGGAGAGGACAGCGUGGGUAAGGCCAGGUUGGAACAUGGGGGUGGUUGACGAGGUGAGAAGAGGAUGAGCUGGUAAAGGUAGUGGUCUGUGGAAAACGUUGGAGACAAGCCGGUCAGUGCAGGGCAUGACGAGACGAGACAAAACGAUGGAAGGUCAGACAGAAGCCUGAGGGAGCUGAAAAGACACGGUGCUUAGGGCUGAAUGGGGACAGCAUAUGGAGUCACUACAGCACAUUGCAGACCAAGAAGCUGGCGGCUGGGGAGCAUGAGGGCAGGUCAAGAAGAGACCACUGCAUCUGUGGCAUGACUGGCAGGUGGUAGGGGAAGUAGGAUGGGAUGUUGAAGAUAAAGCAGAGAGGCUCUCAAAGACAAGAGUGGGAGAAAAGGCAGAGGAUGGGCUGAGCAAGGUUCAGUCCACACCCAGCCUGCAAAGAGAGAGAUCCUUGGCUUCUCGAAUGUCCAUGAAGGUGGUAAGCCAGUAUUGAGAUGGGUUGGGGAGUCAAUGGGAAAAGAAAGGGACAGGCAGCAUGGAUGAGGGGAAGAACCUCAUGAAUGUGUGAAGGGCUCAGGGAAGUUAAAGGGGGCUCUACAGAAAAGGGGACUCUACAGAAAAGGGGAAGGCAGCUUCAAGAGCUCCCAAUCUGCGGACGUCAGCAGAUCUCAGGGGCAGGAGGGGUGGUAUUGAGGCCAGACAGCAGGUGUACACUAGUGAAUAAAAGAAAGUACAGGUGCUAUCUGUUAUAUCUGUGGGAAAGCACUGUUUUAUGGGAAGACAGACAACGUAGAAUGUUUAUAGAGGGAGAGGCUACAGCAUAGCCAAGUACAAAGCAAAGGUGUAUAGUGCAAUCAAUUGGAUUUUGAAAGAAUUGUAUUUAGCACUGGUAAAAUAUGCCUCCUACAGAUGCUGAUAUAGUGUUUACAUGUUUAUUGGUUUUCCAGUGAAAAUGAGCAGAGGAAAAAGAGAAAGAAAAAGUGGUUAAAAUAAAAUUGGAACUAAGUCAACAGUAUACAUACAAAUCAUUCUUGGAACUAUUAAGGAACAUUAUAAUGGUUAGGAUGCAUAGUGCUACAUGUUCAACUUGAUCACAAUUAAUGGAAUAAAGGGAAAUGGGAGAAAUAUAUAAAAAGAAAUUACCACAGGGAAAUUGGUGAGUGGCUGCCUGAAAAAUCUGUCAGACAAUUAUGUCAAAGUGGGUAGAUUCAAGAGAAUAAAUGGUCACAUAGAGAUAAAUUCAUAAAACAAAAUCUGCAGGGAGAGCAGCAGCAGCAGUCCUCGUAACGUUAGGGCUCCUGACACCCUAAGACGAAGAUACAUGCCAUAGGGUGGGGCUGUUUUGAAUACUAAGAGUAGGUCAAGGAGUAAUUUCACACAUUUUCACAUACUGAAUCCAUUUAAAGGCCAGACUGUGAACCAAGCCUGGGUGGUACCAACAAGCAGAGGUUUUUUCUAAGGCUACAAGAUGGGGAAAAAGGAAAUGAGUGGAUAUGCCAUGUUUACAUUGCAUUCUGGAGAGAUGUUAUCAUUUAAGAAAGGCAGCAAUAAAGAUGACAGCUAUCGAUGAUGGUGUGAAACGGGAACAUGAAAUAGGAUAGGAAAACAGGUUCAAAGUCAGCACAGAGGAAAUGUUAGAAAUUUCAGUGUGUUUGAGGAAAGGGAGGUUGGUUGCAAGAUGAAUGAACAGGUGAAUGAGGUCUCAAACUGGAAUCUUGGCCAGUCUCAUUAACGGGUCAGAUCUGGAGGAAUAUGGAUUCCACGGCUAGGCUGAUACAAAUUCUAGUGAUAAAGGUGGGGGAAAUGGUGGCUAAAUAGUAAUGUUCAACCUAUCCUGCUUUUUUAGCAUUUGAGUAAAAAUUCAGAUUAUGUGCUUAGCUUGGAAGAAUGCAAAGUUUCACCAAGGGUCAUUAAUAUGGAUCCCAGUGAGUGGAUGGAGGUGAGUCAAAGUAAAACAACAGAUAAAUUUUACUUAACUGAAGUUGUGGAUUUAAUUCAGAAUGUCAGGAGUUAAUAUGGCUAAUACUGAACAGCAAAUAAUGGAGUGGAGACAACAGAUUUCAGUGAAGAGAUUGGAGUCCAUCAGGAUCCUGUGGUAGCUCAUUAAGAUAAAGGUUUAAGGAAGUGUAGAACUGCAAGAACUGCAGUAUGUAUGUAUAAUAUGAAAGAGUUAUGAAUUGUUAAAUGGAAGGCAGCAUCCCUAAUGAAAAAAAAAAAAAAAAGAGAAACUCAUAUACAUGUCCUGUUAAACUUUAUCUUAGUAUGGAUAUUUUCUAUUGAAGGCUAUUUAAAUGAGUUAUCUAAAUUUGUUGAAAUGAGAAAUAAUGAUGCAAUGAGGACCGAAAGUUCAAUAAUAAAAACAAUAUAGGGAUUAGAAUGGUUCUGAGCAAGUAAUAAAGCAAAAAGGUAGAGUCAUUACAGAGGUCCAAAGUGGGGAAAAAUUUGUAGAGUGUUGCAUAUAUAUGUUGUUACUGGUGUAAUAAACAUUCAGAGGAAGGAAAGUUGCUGGAUGAGAAAGGACACUAAGAAAGCAUGCUGCCUUGAAGGCUUUUCUAGAAAUUUUUUAGUAAAGAGUAGUUGUUGGAGGACGCAAGAUAAGUAGGACUAACUAAAUUGAGACUUAAGAUGUUGAUUACUCUUUCCACAAUUUGCCCAAGAUUUCAGCGAAGGAGUUAUGGUAAUAUCUUGAUGUUGAGUUAAAGUAAAUUUUUUCAGAUGGCAUAGAUUUUUUGUACACUUAUAAAGUAAGGAGGAGUGCGAAAGUUUAAAGAUACAGAAAAGGUAAGAACAGUUGAUGGAAUAACUUUCUGAGGAGAUGGGUGGGUGUGUGUCCUUUGAACUGUGAAAGACUUGAUUUUUAAAGAGGGUAAAAGGAGAAAGUGGAUAGUUUCAGAAUUGAAACAAUAAUAGCUUCUAUCUAUUAAGUAUUCACUAUGUGCCUGGCACCACGCUAAUCACGUUAAUUUCAUUUUAUCCUUACAACAAUCCUAAAAGGUUUACAGAGAUCAAAUAACUUGUCUAUGAUUACACACUCAGUGUGUUAACAGUCAGAAUUCAAAUCGAAUUUAUCUAUCUCCAAAACCUACAUUACUUUCUAUUCUAUACAGUUUUCAAGUUGAAGGAAAUCAAAAUCUAUAGAAUUUCUAUUUUUUUUCUGUGACUAUAUGGAAAAUAUAUUUUGAGAUGAGACAAGCAGAGGUAAUUGAUGUAUAGAUCUUCAGGUGAUUGGUAAAAUUCAGAAUAUCUGCAAUGGGAAAAUGCUGAAAGGAAGGCAUGUGGAAAAGACUCUUACUACCACCUAUGCCCUGGUAUUUCACUUCUAUUCAUUGCACAGCAAAGACUUUGGAUUGGCCAUGGAUUAAACAUUUCAGAGUUUCUAACAAAGACUAAAGAAUAGAAAGGAGUUUUUUUUUAAGCAGGUAAAUGAUAGGUAAAAUGUAAAUCGACUACUAACAAAGUUUUAAAAGUCUAAGUGUUGAGACUUCCAUUGGAAGAAUUCCAUUUCUUUUCUCCAAGAUGCAAUCACAAGAGUUUAUAAGUUUUAACACCAAUCAGCAAACCCUUUGAAUUUAACAGAAAAGAAAGAAAAUUCUCCAAAUGACAAAUUUUUAUAGACAAAAUACUAACAACCAUCAAGCAAAAGAGUCCACAGCCAGCAGACCAAAGGUUGAAACCUCUGGGCUAAUUUGUAAGAUCUAUGUUUUAAAAAGAAAUUAACUCUGUAGUAAGGAGGGGUAAGAAAACCUCCCUAUGCUUUCUGUCUUAGUAGAAAUGUUUUCUGUUGUUGUUGUUUUCUCCUAUACUAUAUGUAACUUCUGUAAUUCCAAUAUUGUUGUUUUAUGUAUUUUGAUAUUGUAAAAUUGUAUUUAUUGUAUUCUGUUAGAACCACUCCUUGGGGUGUGAGGCACCUGAGUUAUCAGUUAUCCAGUGAACCUGGGGAAAUGGGAGGAGCUAGUAUUCUCAAUUGGGGAGAGCUUGAUUCUUCAACCAAUGAGUUCAGCAUUUUGCUUCCAAAAUUAAGUGGCGAAGCAAUGGCAUCCCUUAAAAAACAGAAACUUAGUGGGAAGUAAAAUGGGGUUAGAAUUUUGAAAUAUGGAGAGGUGGCUACUGGAAAAAACUGAAAAAGUAUGGCGUAUCCCAGGAUGAUGGCAGAAGCCAUAGGGCUACAUUAAGACUGUGCCCAGAUACUGGUUUAGAAUAAGGGUAAAUAAAACUAGCUUUAUUUACAUAAGAGUACAGCCAGCUUAAUUACUGGCUGGUGGACAUAAGCCAAAUCUAACCAGAGGGAAACAGACCAGGAAAGAAAGUGAAGCUAAAAGAGAAUGGAAUAAGAGAAACCUCAUAAAGGGAUUAAGGAGGUAAUUAAAGGUUAAAGUUGGACGGCCUAAUGCUCAAAGGAGAAAUAGUGGAGGCCAGAUAGGAAAGUGCCUUCCUACCCAGGGGCUUAUGGAUCCAGGGUGGCCACAACUGCAGGUCCAGCCAGGGCCAGAGGGAACAACCUGGGGUUCAGACCCAGCAAUGGUGCCAACUUGAAUCUACCUCGUGCUAGAGUUGAGUAGCCUGGUCUAUCAUCCAACACAGGUAAGAUUGGGCAGGGGCGCCCAGAACCGACAUCUAAAAAGGGAGUUGGGAGAGGGGCUAAGGGAAGACAGGUUAAGCCCCAAAUGUAACUGAAUGAUGACCAGGGAUAACUAUUUACUAGUGCUUUUACGAUUUCUUGUAACUCUGUAACUUUCCCAAUAUUUGUUAACUUCUAUCUGAUUUUUCCUGUAUUAGUAGUAAAAAUUGUUUUUUCCUGUAUUAGUAGUAAAAAUUGAUUUUUCCUGUACUAGUAAUAAAAAUUGUUCAAAAUGUAA